AACGAACGCUGGCGGCAGGCUUAACACAUGCAAGUCGAGCGCCCCGCAAGGGGAGCGGCAGACGGGUGAGUAACGCGUGGGAAUCUACCCAUCUCUACGGAAUAACGCAUGGAAACGUGUGCUAAUACCGUAUACGUCCUUCGGGAGAAAGAUUUAUCGGAGAUGGAUGAGCCCGCGUUGGAUUAGCUAGUUGGUGGGGUAUAGGCCUACCAGGGCGACGAUCCAUAGCUGGUCUGAGAGGAUGAUCAGCCACACUGGGACUGAGACACGGACCAGACUCCUACGGGAGGCAGCAGUGGGGAAUAUUGGACAAUGGGCGCAAGCCUGAUCCAGCCAUGCCGCGUGAGUGAUGAAGGCCCUAGGGUUGUAAGGCUCUUUCACCGGUGAAGAUAAUGACGGUAACCGGAGAAGAAGCCCCGGCUAACUUCGUGCCAGCAGCCGCAGUAAAAC
rnacentral:rRNA from 1 species